rnacentral:rRNA from 1 species
UUAAGCGACUAAGCGUACACGGUGGAUGCCCUGGCAGUCAGAGGCGAUGAAGGACGUGCUAAUCUGCGAUAAGCGUCGGUAAGGUGAUAUGAACCGUUAUAACCGGCGAUUUCCGAAUGGGGAAACCCAGUGUGUUUCGACACACUAUCAUUAACUGAAUCCAUAGGUUAAUGAGGCGAACCGGGGGAACUGAAACAUCUAAGUACCCCGAGGAAAAGAAAUCAACCGAGAUUCCCCCAGUAGCGGCGAGCGAACGGGGAGCAGCCCAGAGCCUGAAUCAGUGUGUGUGUUAGUGGAAGCGUCUGGAAAGGCGCGCGAUACAGGGUGACAGCCCCGUACACAAAAAUGCACAUGCUGUGAGCUCGAUGAGUAGGGCGGGACACGUGGUAUCCUGUCUGAAUAUGGGGGGACCAUCCUCCAAGGCUAAAUACUCCUGACUGACCGAUAGUGAACCAGUACCGUGAGGGAAAGGCGAAAAGAACCCCGGCGAGGGGAGUGAAAAAGAACCUGAAACCGUGUACGUACAAGCAGUGGGAGCACGCUUAGGCGUGUGACUGCGUACCUUUUGUAUAAUGGGUCAGCGACUUAUAUUCUGUAGCAAGGUUAACCGAAUAGGGGAGCCGAAGGGAAACCGAGUCUUAACUGGGCGUUAAGUUGCAGGGUAUAGACCCGAAACCCGGUGAUCUAGCCAUGGGCAGGUUGAAGGUUGGGUAACACUAACUGGAGGACCGAACCGACUAAUGUUGAAAAAUUAGCGGAUGACUUGUGGCUGGGGGUGAAAGGCCAAUCAAACCGGGAGAUAGCUGGUUCUCCCCGAAAGCUAUUUAGGUAGCGCCUCGUGAAUUCAUCUCCGGGGGUAGAGCACUGUUUCGGCAAGGGGGUCAUCCCGACUUACCAACCCGAUGCAAACUGCGAAUACCGGAGAAUGUUAUCACGGGAGACACACGGCGGGUGCUAACGUCCGUCGUGAAGAGGGAAACAACCCAGACCGCCAGCUAAGGUCCCAAAGUCAUGGUUAAGUGGGAAACGAUGUGGGAAGGCCCAGACAGCCAGGAUGUUGGCUUAGAAGCAGCCAUCAUUUAAAGAAAGCGUAAUAGCUCACUGGUCGAGUCGGCCUGCGCGGAAGAUGUAACGGGGCUAAACCAUGCACCGAAGCUGCGGCAGCGACGCUUAUGCGUUGUUGGGUAGGGGAGCGUUCUGUAAGCCUGUGAAGGUGUGCUGUGAGGCAUGCUGGAGGUAUCAGAAGUGCGAAUGCUGACAUAAGUAACGAUAAAGCGGGUGAAAAGCCCGCUCGCCGGAAGACCAAGGGUUCCUGUCCAACGUUAAUCGGGGCAGGGUGAGUCGACCCCUAAGGCGAGGCCGAAAGGCGUAGUCGAUGGGAAACAGGUUAAUAUUCCUGUACUUGGUGUUACUGCGAAGGGGGGACGGAGAAGGCUAUGUUGGCCGGGCGACGGUUGUCCCGGUUUAAGCGUGUAGGCUGGUUUUCCAGGCAAAUCCGGAAAAUCAAGGCUGAGGCGUGAUGACGAGGCACUACGGUGCUGAAGCAACAAAUGCCCUGCUUCCAGGAAAAGCCUCUAAGCAUCAGGUAACAUCAAAUCGUACCCCAAACCGACACAGGUGGUCAGGUAGAGAAUACCAAGGCGCUUGAGAGAACUCGGGUGAAGGAACUAGGCAAAAUGGUGCCGUAACUUCGGGAGAAGGCACGCUGAUAUGUAGGUGAAGUCCCUUGCGGAUGGAGCUGAAAUCAGUCGAAGAUACCAGCUGGCUGCAACUGUUUAUUAAAAACACAGCACUGUGCAAACACGAAAGUGGACGUAUACGGUGUGACGCCUGCCCGGUGCCGGAAGGUUAAUUGAUGGGGUUAGCGNGCGAAGCUCUUGAUCGAAGCCCCGGUAAACGGCGGCCGUAACUAUAACGGUCCUAAGGUAGCGAAAUUCCUUGUCGGGUAAGUUCCGACCUGCACGAAUGGCGUAAUGAUGGCCAGGCUGUCUCCACCCGAGACUCAGUGAAAUUGAACUCGCUGUGAAGAUGCAGUGUACCCGCGGCAAGACGGAAAGACCCCGUGAACCUUUACUAUAGCUUGACACUGAACAUUGAGCCUUGAUGUGUAGGAUAGGUGGGAGGCUUUGAAGUGUGGACGCCAGUCUGCAUGGAGCCGACCUUGAAAUACCACCCUUUAAUGUUUGAUGUUCUAACGUUGACCCGUAAUCCGGGUUGCGGACAGUGUCUGGUGGGUAGUUUGACUGGGGCGGUCUCCUCCUAAAGAGUAACGGAGGAGCACGAAGGUUGGCUAAUCCUGGUCGGACAUCAGGAGGUUAGUGCAAUGGCAUAAGCCAGCUUGACUGCGAGCGUGACGGCGCGAGCAGGUGCGAAAGCAGGUCAUAGUGAUCCGGUGGUUCUGAAUGGAAGGGCCAUCGCUCAACGGAUAAAAGGUACUCCGGGGAUAACAGGCUGAUACCGCCCAAGAGUUCAUAUCGACGGCGGUGUUUGGCACCUCGAUGUCGGCUCAUCACAUCCUGGGGCUGAAGUAGGUCCCAAGGGUAUGGCUGUUCGCCAUUUAAAGUGGUACGCGAGCUGGGUUUAGAACGUCGUGAGACAGUUCGGUCCCUAUCUGCCGUGGGCGCUGGAGAA